rnacentral:snRNA from 1 species
GAAUGUGAGGGAGAUCUGGCUGCAACAUCUGUCACCCCAUUGAUCGCCAGGGUUGAUUAGGCUGAUCUGGCUGGUUAGGCGGGUGUCCCUUUCCUCCCUCACCGCUCCAUGUGCCUCGCUCCCAAAGCUGCACGCUUGGUCAAAGAGGAAGGCCUUCCCAGAAUAGAGACAGACUGGUCUUCGGUUGAGGGUAUACGAGUAGCUGUGCUCCCUUGCUAGAACCUCCAAACAAGCUCUCAAGAUAUGCAGAUAUAGCUCAAUGCUAUAGCCAGGGUUUAUAUGCUUGAGGCCUCAAUUAUGGUCUCC